UCCCCUCGCUCACUUCUCCUUCCUCGCUCUUGCGGCAUCCCAUCGAUCCACGGCCAGAUCCACCGCCCACCCCGACCCACUACGAUCCAUCCCCCCUCGUCUCCGCCACCCAGUUGCGCCGCGGCCGCCGUCUGCGGCCCCUCCUCGUCCUCCGCGUAGCCGCUGUUUGCGGCCCCUCAUCCCCUCCUCUCUGUCCCGCUCGACUCACUUGCCGUCGCUCCCUCCCACGCUCGAUCCCGGCGAGGACGUAGCAGUCUAUCCCGACGAGGACGGCGGCGGCGAGGUCGGCGCCGUCAUCGAGCGGCACGCGGCGCUGGCGGCGGGGUCUAGCCAGCGACACCGAGUUCUGCUGCGGCGCGACGCCGACGCGGUCCGUCACGACCGCCUGCACUUUCCGCACGCCCAACGACGGCUGCACGGUCACCGUGCCCAGGUCCACGCUCUGUUCCCACUGCUUUUUUUCUCACUCUUGGCCGCUGCCGCCGCGUAGAAUUUGAUGCUUCCAUGGUCGUUCCCUCGAUUUGAUCAGGAGUGCCCUGCUCGAACGGCGGCCGGUGGUGCGGAGGUCGCUUGGAGCCGGAGCCAGCACCGGCGCCAUGCCUUCCCAGAGCUCGAGUGGAUGCACUUAUUGCUGCUUGAUCUCAAGCACUACGGCGUCAACUUUGUGGUGGCCGACGCGACGGCCAUCGAGCAUGACUUCUUCGCCAAGAACAACCUCAGCAUGGACAUCACGCCGUAGUACAUCAUGAUGGAGCUUGGCUAGAUGUACACAUAUUUUUUUUACAACCUCUGCGUGCAUAUUUUUUUUACAAUGCACCAAAGUUUCUUGUUUCUGUUGUGAAAGUAAUGUAAAUGGUGUUACAUAGUUCUCAAUAAAAAUGCAAAUAACUUGUGAA